rnacentral:pre_miRNA from 14 species
GGCUGUGAAAGACCCCCGAAGAGAGACCCUUACUCAAGUCUCAGGAAGUCGCGGACCCCAGACACAGAGAGACCA